GCCUACGGGGGCAGCAGUCGAGAAUCAUUCACAAUGGGGGGAAACCCUGAUGGUGCGACGCCGCGUGGGGGAAUGAAGGUCUUCGGAUUGUAAACCCCUGUCAUGUGGGAGCAAAUUAAAAAGAUAGUACCACAAGAGGAAGAGACGGCUAACUCUGUGCCAGCAGCCGCGGUAAUACAGAGGUCUCAAGCGUUGUUCGGAAUCACUGGGCGUAAAGCGUGCGUAGGCUGUUUCGUAAGUCGCGUGUGAAAGGCGCGGGCUCAACCCGCGGACGGCACAUGACACUGCGAGACUAGAGUAAUGGG
rnacentral:rRNA from 1 species